UUUAAUCUAAAUUUGGACUCCUAGCAUCAUUCCUAGGUCCAUUAGCUCAUGUAUAGCUAAGUGGACUUGAUUUUGCUGGAAGAGAGGUUUGUGGUUGGGUUUGGGACUUUAUCCAAGAUUCUUUGAGAAAAUUUGAAUCAGCUCCCAUUCACGCCCCUCGCUCUGGUCACCUUUCCGAUCCUUCAGCAAGUGGUCUCCAAGUUGGGAGGGGCCAUACAAGAUUGUGAAGGUGCUUUUUGGGAAUUCCUAUAUGGUGGAAAC
rnacentral:lncRNA from 1 species